rnacentral:rRNA from 1 species
UACGUAGGGGGAAAGCGUUGUUCGGAUUUACUGGGCGUAAAGGGCGCGUAGGCGGCGCGUAAGGUCGGACAUGAAAUCAUUGGGCUUAACCUGAUGGCUGUGACCGAUACUUACGUGCUUGGUGUGCGGGAGAGGCAAUCGGAAUUCUCGGUGUAGCGGUGAAAUGCGUAGAUAUCGAGAGGAACUCCGGUGACGAAGGUGGGUUGCUGGACCGACACUGACGCUGAGGAGCGAAAGCUAGGGGAGCAAACGGG